rnacentral:rRNA from 1 species
UACCGCGGCUGCUGGCACGGAGUUAGCCGGUGCUUAUUCGUAUGGUACUCUCAUCAGCCUUCACGAAGGCCUUAUUGCUCCCAUACAAAAGCAGUUUACAAUCCAUAGGACCGUCUUCCUGCACGCGGCAUGGCUGGAUCAGAUUUCCAUCCAUUGUCCAAUAUUCCUCACUGCUGCCUCCCGUAGGAGUCUGGGCCGUGUCUCAGUUCCAGUGUGGGGGACCUUCCUCUCAGAACCCCUAGACAUCAUAGCCAUGGUAAGCCGUUACCUUACCAUCAAGCUAAUGUCACGCGAGCCAAUCCGUAUCCACCAAAGCUUUAAAUUCUAUAAGAUGCCUUACAAAAUUACUAUGGGGUAUUAGACCAAGUUUCCCUGGAUUAUCCCCCUGAUACGGGCAUGUUGCUCACGCGUUACGCACCCUUGCGCCGGUCGCCGCCAAGUAUUGCUACUCGCGCUGCCCCUCGACUUGCAUGUGUUAAGCCUGCCGCUAGCGUUCAUCCUGAGCCAGGAUCAAACUC